GUCGGCAGCGUCAGAUGUGUAUAAGAGACAGGUGAGUCAUCGAAUCUUUGAACGCACAUUGCGCCCUGUGGUAUUCCGCAGGGCAUGCCUGUUCGAGCGUCAUUAUCACCCCUCUAGCACUGCUAGGUAUUGGGUCUCGCCAGGGCGCGGACCUCAAACCCCUACAGCAGCGCCGUCGGGCCCUCAGCGUAGUAAAUCUCUCGCUCGAGGACCGGCAGGUGCACGCUGAAUAAACCUCUCAGGUUGACCUCGGAUCAGGUAGGGAUACCCGCUGAACUUAAGCAUAUCAAUAAGCGGAGG
rnacentral:misc_RNA from 1 species